GGAUCCAGACUUUGAUUCUGGCUCAGGAUGAACGCUAGCUACAGGCUUAACACAUGCAAGUCGAGGGGAAACGAUAUUGGAAGCUUGCUUCCGAUAGGCGUCGACCGGCGCACGGGUGAGUAACGCGUAUCCAACCUGCCCAUCACUUGGGGAUAACCUUGCGAAAGUAAGACUAAUACCCAAUGACGUCUCUAGAAGACAUCUGAAAGAGAUUAAAGAUUUAUCGGUGAUGGAUGGGGAUGCGUCUGAUUAGCUUGUUGGCGGGGUAACGGCCCACCAAGGCGACGAUCAGUAGGGGUUCUGAGAGGAAGGUCCCCCACAUUGGAACUGAGACACGGUCCAAACUCCUACGGGAGGCAGCAGUGAGGAAUAUUGGUCAAUGGGCGAGAGCCUGAACCAGCCAAGUAGCGUGCAGGAUGACGGCCCUAUGGGUUGUAAACUGCUUUUAUAAGGGAAUAAAGUGAGUCUCGUGAGACUUUUUGCAUGUACCCUAUGAAUAAGGACCGGCUAAUUCCGUGCCAGCAGCCGCGGUAAUACGGAAGGUCCGGGCGUUAUCCGGAUUUAUUGGGUUUAAAGGGAGCGUAGGCCGGAGAUUAAGCGUGUUGUGAAAUGUAGACGCUCAACGUCUGCACUGCAGCGCGAACUGGUUUCCUUGAGUACGCACAAAGUGGGCGGAAUUCGUGGUGUAGCGGUGAAAUGCUUAGAUAUCACGAAGAACUCCGAUUGCGAAGGCAGCUCACUGGAGCGCAACUGACGCUGAAGCUCGAAAGUGCGGGUAUCGAACAGGAUUAGAUACCCUGGUAGUCCGCACGGUAAACGAUGGAUGCCCGCUGUUGGUCUGAAUAGGUCAGCGGCCAAGCGAAAGCAUUAAGCAUCCCACCUGGGGAGUACGCCGGCAACGGUGCAACUCAAAUGAAUUGACGG
rnacentral:rRNA from 1 species